CUAGUGGCGGACGGGUGAGUAACGCGUGGGUAACCUGCCUUAUACAGGGGGAUAACAGUCAGAAAUGACUGCUAAUACCGCAUAAGCGCACAGAACCGCAUGGUUCGGUGUGAAAAACUCCGGUGGUAUAAGAUGGACCCGCGUUGGAUUAGCUAGUUGGCAGGGUAGCGGCCUACCAAGGCGACGAUCCAUAGCCGGCCUGAGAGGGUGAACGGCCACAUUGGGACUGAGACACGGCCCAGACUCCUACGGGAGGCAGCAGUGGGGAAUAUUGCACAAUGGGGGAAACCCUGAUGCAGCGACGCCGCGUGAAGGAAGAAGUAUCUCGGUAUGUAAACUUCUAUCAGCAGGGAAGAUAAUGACGGUACCUGACUAAGAAGCCCCGGCUAACUACGUGCCAGCAGCCGCGGUAAUACGUAGGGGGCAAGCGUUAUCCGGAUUUACUGGGUGUAAAGGGAGCGUAGACGGCGCAGCAAGUCUGAUGUGAAAGGCAGGGGCUUAACCCCUGGACUGCAUUGGAAACUGCUGUGCUUGAGUGCCGGAGGGGUAAGCGGAAUUCCUAGCGUAGCGGUGAAAUGCGUAGAUAUUAGGAGGAACACCAGUGGC
rnacentral:rRNA from 1 species